ACGGAGGAUCCAAGCGUUAUCCGGAAUUACUGGGCGUAAAGAGUUGCGUAGGCGGCAGAGUAAGUUAAUAGUGAAAGCGUGUGGCUCAACCAUACAUACAUUAUUAAAACUGCUCAGCUAGAGUAUGGAAGAGGUGGCUGGAAUUCCCAGUGUAGGAGUGAAAUCCGUAGAUAUUGGGAGGAACACCGAUGGCGUAGGCAGGCCACUGGUCCAUUACUGACGCUAAGGCACGAAAGCGUGGGGAGCGAACGGGA
rnacentral:rRNA from 1 species